UUUUUCACCACAAUAUGAGAAAACAUCAAAUAUCACCCCUAUAAUUUCAUACUUUUUUAUUUUAAUACUUUAUAGUUUAAAAUGUAUUAAUUUAGUGUCCUAUAAUUUUAUUUUUAUCUUUUUAUUAUCGAUUUCACUAAUUUUUUUUAUUGAAUCGGUGAUAAAGUUAAAACUAAAGAAUAUUAAAGUGAAUAUUCGAUAAAUCUAGGUGAGAUACCUGAAGUUUUUUCUAUAUAAUUUAAUAAAAUAUUAACGAAAAAAUAAAAAUAAAACCACAUUACACUAACUUAAUACACUUUAAACCACAGGAUACUAAAGUGAGAAAAUACGAAACCACAUAGGUGGUAUUUGAAGUUUAUCCUAUUUAGAAUAAUAAUUAGGCUAAAUUUUUAAAAAAAAAUUGAAAAUACUUAUUUUUUUUCUUUUUUUCUAACUUUUAAAAAGCUGCAUUUACUUGCUUAAUAUUUUAAGUUGUUGCAUUUAAACCCCCUUUGUCAGGGUUCCAUCAUUAUUCCGUCUAUUUUGUAUAAUUUAUACCAAAAAAAUAUCCUUCGAAAUAACAGAAUAUAUUAAAAAAAAAAUUUUGUAUAGAAGAAGUAAGGAUAAACUGAUUAUUUUGCCUUCUCCAUUAAUAUUGUAUUUCUUAAAAAUAUUUUUGAAAUUUUAAAGAGCUAAAAUAUAGAUUUUUGAAAAUCAGCAAGGGAAAAAAAAAAAAGAAGUAUUUACAGAAAAUUUUUUUGUAAUUUAGCCUAAUAAUUAAGUGGGCAGAUCCCUAACGACGUCUUAUUGAAAAAACUGUGAUUUUAACCUUCGAUUUUUUAGGUAUUUUUUAAUAGUAAAAUUUUUAAAAAUAAUUAAAUUUUAAGGGAAAGGAUUAUAAAUUUUUGAUAGCGGUAAAAGUGACGCGUGGCGACUAGUUGGGUCUUCUUAAGGAGGCGUCUUUGGGGAGCUCGCUACUUAGUUUUUUUUUUUUUUUACAAGUGCAGUUUAAUAAUUGGCCUUUUUGCAUAAAAAAUCCACUUAUUUUGGACUUUUGCAAAAUCGGGUCACUUUUUUCGUUUUUGCAGAUUCGGUCCGUUUUUUCAGUAAACUGACCAAAAUACCCUUAUUACUUUUUNUUCGUAUCGAAUGAUUCUGUUGACAAUGAGCGGCGGGAUUAACAUGUGGAUUGUAGGGAACUCGCUCUGCAUCCACUUAUUAGGGUGAGAACACUACAUCAUGUUGUGGGCUAGAUCCGAAUCCGAGAACCAGCAUAUGCCGGAAUAUUCCUCCUGCCCACAAAUGCAUGAACUCUCCCUGUACUAUCCCCAUCUCGCGAUUUGGUCCCUGUACUUCUCACUAUUUAUAUUGCUAAAUUUUCUUUUUUAUGCUUCUCCGUUUUAUAAUUGAAUCCGUAUUCGUAUUCGUAUUCGUAUUCGUAUUCGUAUUCGUUUAACAUCUAAUUCAUAUUCAAGUCUGAUUAUACUAGAUAUGAAUUUGAAGUUUAGUAUCUGUAUCCGUAUCGCGAUUCGGUACAAAAAUAUGGAGAUGGAUGUGGAUGGAGUGCUAUUCGAGAUCCAUAUCCGACCGAUUUCCAUCCCUCCGGAUCCGCCUAGGAAUGUCGGCGGGGCGGAUUCGGGACAGGUUUUCAAAAAUUCGAAUCCGAACCCGAUUCAAAACCCGAAACUUGAAGCCGAACCAGAAAAUCCGAAUCCGAAAUAAUCAUUUCUCUUUUCAAUAUUUUAAAAUGUAUUUAUAUUAAAUUUAAAUUUUUACAAUACAAAUUCAAAUAUAACAUCAAAUUUUAUAUACAUAUUAUAUAUAAUAUAAAAUAAAUUUAGAUUCGGUUCGGAUUCGGGUUUAGAUUGGAUGCAGUCAAAAUUUUGAUAAAAUUUACUAUCGAAUAAAUCUGCUUUGUUCGGAUUUAAUUUUUGAUAAAAUUUUGAUAUGGGUAUCUAUCGAAAUCUCUAGAUCCGCCGAGGGAGGGUACGUGGCGUGAUUUGCAUGCAUGCAAUGCAUUAUGGCAUCAUGAUAUAUAUAUGAGGAUGGGAUGAUGAUGGUGAUGGCGAUGGUGAUGAUGAGGGGGUAAUGUAUCAUGACGCGAUCAGUGGGCGCUGAUCUCGAGGGGCCACGUGGGGGCCCGACGGUGGUGGAGGAAGGACAAAAAGGAAGACGCGCACCGGGCACCUAACCACGUGGCCGGUCGUUUUCUCUCGCUCCCCAUUUCCGCCAUUUGCGGUGGAGAUCGUGGAGAUUGGGGAUUUAUCCCUAAAUUUGAUUCAUUUGGGGAUACGGGGGUUUUUCACCACAAUAUUUAGAAGAGAAAACAUCAAAUACCACCCCUAUAAUUUCAUACUUUUUUACUUUAGUACUUUAUAGUUUAAAGUGUAUUAAUUUAGUGUCCUAUAGUUUCAUUUUUAUCUUUUUAUUAUUAAUUUCACUAAUUUUUUCUAUUAAAUCAGUGAUAAAGUUAAAACUAAAAAAUACUAAAGUGAAUAUUCGAUAAAUCUAUGUGGGAUACCUAAAGUUUUUUGUAUAUAAUUUAACGAAAUAUUAACGGAAAAAUAGACGAAAAAAUAAAAAUAAAACCACAGUACGGUAACUUAAUACACUUUAAACCACACAGGAUAGUGAAGUAAGAAAAUACGAAACCACAUAGGUGGUAUUUGAAGUUUAUCCUAUUUAGAAUAAUAAUUAGGCUAAAUUUUUUUUAAAAAAAUUGAGAAUACUUUUUUUUCUUUUUUUCUAACUUUUAAAAAGCUGCAUUUACUCGCUUAAUAUUUUAAGUUGUUGCAUUUAGACCCCCUUUGUCAGGGUUCAAUCAUUAUUUCGUCUCUUUUGUAUAAUUUAUACCAAAAAAUAUCCUUCGAAAUAACAGAAUAUAUUAAAAAUUAUUUUUUUUAUGGAAGAAGUAAGGAUAAACUGAUUAUUUUGCCUUCUCCAUUAAUAUUGUAUUUCUUAAAAAUAUUUUUGAAAUUUUAAGGAGCUAAAAUAUAGAUUUUUGAAAAUCAGGAAGGAAAAAUAAAAAAGAAGUAUUUACAGAAAAUUUUUUUGUAAUUUAGCCUAAUAAUUAAGUGGG
rnacentral:lncRNA from 1 species